UUUGGGCGUGUCUCCCUUCUCGGGAGACUCUCUCAACCCCCACGAACCCUUGACCUCAAAUCGGGUGAGACUACCCGCUGAACUUAAGCAUAUCAAUAAGCGGAGGAAAAGAAACUAACAAGGAUUCCCCUAGUAACUGCGAGUGAAGCGGGAAAAGCUCA
rnacentral:rRNA from 1 species